UACGGGGGGGGGCAAGCGUUGUUCGGAAUUACUGGGCGUAAAGGGCGCGUAGGCGGCCUGCUAAGUCGGAUGUGAAAUCCCUCGGCUCAACCGAGGAACUGCAUCCGAUACUGGCGGGCUUGAAUCCGGGAGAGGGAUGUGGAAUUCCAGGUGUAGCGGUGAAAUGCGUAGAUAUUCGGAGGAACACCAGAAGCGAAGGCGGCCAACUGGCCCGAUACUGACGCUGAGGUGCGAAAGCGUGGGGAGCAAACAGGG
rnacentral:rRNA from 1 species